rnacentral:rRNA from 1 species
CCUACGGGGGGCAGCAGUGAGGAAUAUUGGUCAAUGGACGAGAGUCUGAACCAGCCAAGUAGCGUGAAGGAUGACUGCCCUAUGGGUUGUAAACUUCUUUUAUAAAGGAAUAAAACGAGGCACGUGUGCCUUUUUGCAUGUACUUUAUGAAUAAGGAUCGGCUAACUCCGUGCCAGCAGCCGCGGUAAUACGGAGGAUCCGAGCGUUAUCCGGAUUUAUUGGGUUUAAAGGGAGCGUAGAUGGGUUGUUAAGUUAGUUGUGAAAGUUUGCGGCUCAACCGUGAAAUUGCAAUUGAUACUGGCAGUCUUGAGUACAGUUGAGGUAGGCGGAAUUCGUGGUGUAGCGGUGAAAUGCUUAGAUAUCACGAAGAACCCCGAUUGCGAAGGCAGCUUACUAAACUGUGACUGACAUUGAUGCUCGAAAGUGUGGGGAUCAAACAGGAUUAGAUACCCGGGUAGUC